AAGCUUUCAGUGCCUCUCAUGGCUUUCAAGAGCCUUGUGCCUGUCUUCUCCUCUAGCACAUUAUCUCAUGUUGCAUAUUACACCCAAGCAUGAGACAAGCUGCAAGUUACAAUGUGCAGUGUGUUGCAAUAUGUGAUUUGUGUCCCUUCAGAACACACAAGCAGCAAGAUCGUCAAAACCAGCCUUCCCUAUUGGCUGUUUGAUUUUUUGCCACAACAAGGACACCAACAACACUGAACCUAUGCUUGCAGACACACUUCUACCCAUCUAAAGAAGAGACUUUCCAACAGUGCACUGAACUCUUGAUGACUGAUGUAGAAUUACAAGACAGCAGAAUACAUGGUAGCAUGACCUAAAAAAGGAUUUGCAAACACACUUGGAGAGGAGAGAGAUCUUGUGUCUAUUGGAUUUUUGUUUAUUUUCUGC